GACGAACCGAGCGAACGUUGUUCGGAAUAACUGGGCUUAAAGGGCGCGUAGGCGGCCUUCUAAGUCAGACGUGAAAUCCCCCGGCUUAACCUGGGAACUGCGUCUGAUACUGGAGGGCUUGAGUGCGGGAGAGGGAUGUGGAAUUCCAGGUGUAGCGGUGAAAUGCGUAGAUAUCUGGAGGAACACCGGUGGCGAAGGCGGCAUCCUGGACCGACACUGACGCUGAGGCGCGAAAGCUAGGGUAGCAAACGGG
rnacentral:rRNA from 1 species